ensembl:lncRNA
CUCUGUGCCUCUUCAUUCAGAAUUUUGAAAAAAAGAAUCCAUUUGGUUGUUCUUGUUCAAGGGCUUAGAUGGCUCUGGGUUGCUUAUCUACCCUGACCAGUUGGCGGUGAUGGAGUAGCUUGUUUUUGCCAUGAGCACUAAGGGAUUUAGCAAGGACUGUGUGUGGGGACAAUUCACAGAGAAGGGGACAUACACCUCCUGAAAUUCCACGAAUUAGAGAUGCCUUUGUCCCCACAAGUAAACACAUUCAGCAGGAUGUAUUGGUUUCCUAGGGCUGCCACAACAAAACACUAAACUGGGUGACUUAAUUCUAGUUGUUGCUGUUCAGUUGCUUGGUCAUUGACUCUCUGCGACACCAGGGAUUGCAGCACGCCAGACUUCCCUGCCCUUCACCAUCUCCAGGAGUUUGCUUAAAUUUAUGUCCAUUGAGUCGGUGAUGCCAUCCAACCAUCUCAUCUUCUGUCUAAUUUCAUUCUAAAGGCAAGUCUUAAAUCAGGACUGGUCCUAAUUUAGGACUUUGAGGAAGUCCUAAAUCAAGGUGUACGCAGGGCCAUGCUCUCCCUGAGCAUUCUAGGAGGAUUCUUCCUUGCCUCCUCCUAGCUUUUGGUGGUUGCUGGCAAUUCUUAUUCCUUGGUUUGUGAACACAUCAAUCUCAGCCUCUUCAUGGUAUCCUCUCCCUGUGUCUCUCUGAGUGUCCAAACAUUCCUCUUCUUAUAAAGACACUGAAUUAGGUUUUACCCUGAUUCUGUAUGAGGUCAUCUUAACUUGAUUGUAUCUACAAAGACCGCAUUUCCAAAUAAGGUCACAUUCAUAGGUGCCAGGAGUUCAGACUUCAACAUACCUUAUAGGGGGACACAUUCAACCCACAACAGAGGGAAAAUAAAGAGAAUUCAUCUAAUCCACGUGCCUCUGUCUGAGAAAACAGCAGUUUGGGUUUGCGAACAGGCAGACAUGAGCUGGAGGAAAUGCUGAGAUCUGGGGAACUUCUUGGAGAGAGAGGCCAGUCUCCAGCUGUUUCUGGACCCAGCUUCACAGGAAUCAAGAAUAUGGGCAAUGUGGUUAUCAAGUUCAAGGCGAAGACCCUCACCAUGGUAGCAAGCAAGGACUUGUUCUUAGAAGCUAAAUAAAACCCAGGUUGUAAGUACGGAAGUCCAAGAUCAUCUCCUUCCUUGCACUAAGGCAGCAAUUCCCUGGUGAGAGUGAGACUGCAUCCUGUCCAGCCAUAUGUAAGGCAAGGCAGACUGAGAUAAAUGCUCUAAUCAAGGACAAUGCUAUUGUACAGAUGAAGAAACUGAGGCUCAGAGAGGUUAAAUGACUUGCCUAAAGGUCUCACAACCUGUAAGUGACAGAGGUAUCCAUCAGAACCAGGUCCUUGGG